rnacentral:snRNA from 1 species
GUGCUCACUUUGGCAGCACAUAUACUAAAACCAGAACGAUACAGACAAGAUCAGCACGGCCCCU